AUACAAAAACAAUCUAAAUAAAAUAGUUAAAAGGAAUGGAGGGAGUAUAAUUGAAAUAAACAUGCAACACACUUGUUCCCAUUUACUAGUUACUAUUAUAUAUAAAUGUGAGUGCAGCACAUAGGUGAUGGUUUUCACGUGUGCUUCUUCAUAGGGACAUUUUAGUCUUUGCAUGUUCCAAUUAAGGGGGUAUUGUAGUCUUUUUAGUUUGGUUAUUUGAUGUGGUAUUUCCACAGAAAUACACGUGCCUGCCUUAUUUUCUAUACACAACAACUUAUAUUGCUUUUCUCACAUUUCUGGGCUCUUCUUCUCCAUUUCCAACAGUUAAAUUAUUUCUUUUACAUCUUCUGUGCUCUGCUUCUCCAUUUUCAGGUUUGGCUUUCUCAUUAGGUGCUUGAUUGUGAUUCCUUUAAUUUCAAUUUUACGUUAUUGGCAAAGGAAAAACUUCGAUUAAAAGUGAAAAAUAAACAAGUGAGCUGAUUACGAUCAAUUCAUUAUCACAGUCACUUCCACUGAGUGAAGAAUGCAACAAAGAUGUACCCAUUGCAUUGAUUAGCACUUUUGCCUAUGUUAUCUCUUUUCACUUUCAAUUCAUCCUAUUGGCCAAAUUUCAUAUUCUUGGAAUCUUGGUGGAUUUGGUUGUUCCUGUUUGUUUGUACAGUGAAACAAAGAAACCAGCAGCAAAGAAAAAAGAGAAAUCAACAGAGCCAAAGGUUAAAAGGAAAAAGAAACCCAAAUGCUCCAAAACGCCCUCCUACUGCUUUGUUUGUGUUCAUGGAUGAGUUUAGGCAAACAUUCAAGGCUGCUAAUCCUCACUGCAAGAGGGUCUCCACGAUAGUGCUGAAUUCAGUUGUUCCUAAUAACAAUCUCCUCUUGCCCCUUUAUCCCUUUAGUUUUAUCUAAUAGCCACAAAGUUGCUACUUCUCCAUCUUGUUCUGUAGCCUUACAAUAGUGUUCACUUCUCCUAAUGGUAAGCUCAUGUAUGUUUGUUGUGAUGUAUUUUUAACAAUAUCAGAAUGUUUUCAUUACUUCACAUAAAAAUCAAUGCGUGUUUUUUA